rnacentral:piRNA from 1 species
UGCCCUUCUACAACCAGGACCACGAGCGC